AGAAUGAGAGGGGUUCCAAAGCGCUGUGGCAGCUUUCCAAUGGCUGGCCUGUACUUUUACAUUUAAAGUAAGCAGGUGGCAUCAAUGGGCUGUCUAAUGACUAACAAGAUAAGAGUGCAAUUGAUCUUUUUAUUAACCCGUUUCCCCAGGUGGGUGGCAGCCUGCUCCUCCCUCCUGGGUUCAGUUACAUUGUUCAGUUCCAGGAAUCAUUUUAGACUCUUUUGGUUUUUUGUCUGAGCUGAUACUUAAAACAUAGGAGCACAAACGCUGAUAUUCCGUGUCCUCUAAAUCCUAUCCUCUCUGGACCUCCAAACUGGUCGCAGACCACUUACUCUAGACCUCACGACUAGUUCUGAAGAGUAUGGAGCCUACAUAGAUUCAUAAGGAAUGAACCAUUUGCCAUCUAAGGAAAAAAUGAGAUCCUUCUCAUAUUAAUAAUCCAACACUUCACUCAUGCAAAGAAAACCAAAAUUACAUAUUGCUCUUGAAACUCUAAGUUGCACUGUGUUGUGAAAGUAAACUUUGCUCUUUGCUCACUUGAUGAAAAUGUUUUGCUUUUUUUAAAUUGGCAAAGUGGAAAAUUGAAGAGCCGUUGAGAAAAAUAAACCCAAUUCUUCAUGUGAACAAUUGUCUCACGCUGAUGUCUUGAAACCAGAAAGCUUUCUGCUAUUUAUUUACCAGAGAUGAGUACAGAUCAUUUCAUUGUGCAUCGAUUUUCUCUAAGGAGGGAGGAAGUGUGGUCAGCUAAACAAGACACUGAAAUGGGGAAUCAGCAGCCACAACUCCUAUUGUCAUCUCCAGCUGCAGAAUUUGCUCAGACUCUUAGAAACUCACUUGAUUGCUAUGAUCCUGGUUUUUUGGUUUGUUUCUUUUUUUGUUUCCUUUGGUUGUUUUGUUUUUUUAAUCAACAAGAUCGAACUUAUAGAUUAAAUUCUUUGAGUUCUUUUGUUGGGUUAUUUUAAUUGGUCUGGUCUAUACACAAUAUAUUGAUAAAAUGAGAGCCAAUACAAUUGGACACCAUUCAGGAAUAGAAUCAUUCCACAUUCAUGUAGCCAAAUGUUUACUGGGAGCCUACUGUCUACUGGGCACUGAGCUGGGCAUUGCAUAGUGUAUUUGCUCCUUACAUCACGAGACAAUUAUGAAACUGACAUUAUGUGCAAAUAUAAACUUCCCAGAAGAUCAAUACUAUAUGAAUUAAGAAUAAUUAUCCAAAAAAAGAUCACUACACUUUAAAUACAAAGAACUCCUUUAUUUUUGAAAAACACUUGUUAAACACAUAAAAAAUUUCAAAUUCCUUAACCUGUUUUUAUUCUGUUUUCAAAUUACUGUUUUUAAAUUUGUGAAAUAUGUCCAUUGUACACAUUUGGAAACUUGGUAUACUUAUUUGUGUAUUUACAUAUGUAUAUGCUUAUGCUGGAAACACAUAUAUCUGUGCCUUUCAAAUUAUAAAUUAGAACUCACAGUAACACUGUUUCAAAUUAAAAUUAUUUCACCCUCAUUAGGAGGGAACCUGCUAUUUUUUUCUAUUAUCAAGUUUUUUUAUGCCAGUUCUGUCUUCUUGGUUACAGUGAAAGAUUAAAAAUAAAUAGAUAAAUAAAAUGUCCUUUUCAAAUUGUUAGUUUUAUAUUCAUGCUGUUUUUUUCGUUUAUCAUUGAAAAUGUUUUUAGGAUUGGAUGUUUAACAAGAAAUUCUGUGACUUGUGCUAGAUUUUAUUUAUAUUUUGCUCUUUACACCUAUAUUAGAUAUGAAUCUAGUUAAGCUAUUAUAACAGAGAAACUCCAAAACACAGAAGCUCAUACGAGAUAAAAGUUUAUUCUGUCUCACAUAACAGUUUAGACUGGCAGGACUGUUGGUGUAUG
rnacentral:lncRNA from 1 species